rnacentral:rRNA from 1 species
GAUGAACGCUGGCGGCGUGCCUAAUACAUGCCAGUCGAGCGAACAGACGAGGAGCUUGCUCCUCUGACGUUAGCGGCGGACGGGUGAGUAACACGUGGAUAACCUACCUAUAAGACUGGGAUAACUUCGGGAAACCGGAGCUAAUACCGGAUAACAUGUUGAACCGCAUGGUUUAACAGUGAAGGACGGUCUUGCUGUCACUUAUAGAUGGAUCCGCGCCGCAUUAGCUAGUUGGUAAGGUAACGGCUUACCAAGGCAACGAUGCGUAGCCGACCUGAGAGGGUGAUCGGCCACACUGGAACUGAGACACGGUCCAGACUCCUACGGGAGGCAGCAGUAGGGAAUCUUCCGCAAUGGGCGAAAGCCUGACGGAGCAACGCCGCGUGAGUGAAGAAGGUCUUCGGAUCGUAAAACUCUGUUAUUAGGGAAGAACAAAUGUGUAAAUAACUAUGCACGUCUUGACGGUACCUAAUCAGAAAGCCACGGCUAACUACGUG